rnacentral:lncRNA from 1 species
CUUGUUCAUUGUUAAUUUUUAUUUCUUAUUAUGUUAUUUUGUUUAGGGCUAUGUUUUUUUCUACUUUUUCUAGUGGAAUAUUUAAGGGCACCAAUUAUAAAGUAAGUUUGAAUUUCAUGAAAUUACUGAUAGUCAACCAUUUUUUCACCUACAAAAAUGGCAGUUUCAUAUUGUUCAAGCUAAGUCUUUGACUAUAUUGUCUCUUGUUUUUAAAACUGAGCUCCGUCAAUACUUUGUUUCUUACUAGUUUUCUUUUUGUUUUCUGUCUUUCUCAACUUUAUUCCCAGUAUUCUUUUUUUUAUUUUUAUUUUUUGUGAGGAAGAUUGGCCCUGAGCUAACAACUAUUGUCAAUUUUCCUCAUUUUGCUUGAGGAAGAUUGUCACUGAGCUAACACCCGUGCUAAUCUUCCUCUAUUUUAUAUGGGAUGCUGCCACAGCGAGGCAGCAGCCCACAUGCCACAACCAGAAGGCCUUACUACAACAAUAUACAACCAUGCACUGGGGGGUUUUGGGGAGAAGAAGAAAAAAAGAUUGGCAACAGAUGUUAGCUCAGAUGCCAGUAAAAAAAAAAAAAAGAAUUUCAGGUCAGCAGACAUAUGUUUCACUGGCUUAUUCUGAUGUCUGACAGGGCAGAUGUAAAUUAGUUGAUUACAUUUUCUGACCGGUCUUCUCAUUCCCUCAAAAUAAAGAGUAAACACUGUAAAAUGAUCCCCUGGAAUGCUCUAACUGGAACAUUUUUCUUGGGCCCCAGCUCUUCUAAUUUAUCUUCGUUGAGUCCCCACUUCCUUUUGCUGUGGAGCUUCAUACAUAACUAGGAAACAAAAUCUGGCAAACAGUUAUUGGCUUUGAGAGUUUGGGGCGGGGGGGGGGGGGGGGGUGGUUGCGUUACACGGCCAGCCCCUCAGGGAGCCCUUCGAGCUGUUGUCAAGAGAAAAUGAUGAGUUUGAACUUAGCAGAGAUAAAAAAAAAAAAAAUAAUGGGGUCUUACUGGAUUUUGGAGGUGCUUCUUAUGUGUGAAGAGGAGUCUUGAAGAAGGCAACAGCUGAGAUUUACUGACCAAACAAGAAAACUGGCUGCCCUUGAUGAAACCACGCAGUGCAAAGGAAAAUGUCUUGCGCUGCUAUGAGGUGUCCAUUUAGCAGAAACAUCCAUAAUGA